CCUACGGGUGGCAGCAGUGGGGAAUAUUGGUCAAUGGGGGAAACCCUGAUCCAGCGACGCCGCGUGAGUGAAGAAGGAUCUCUGUAUGUUAAGCUCCUUUUGUAGGGAAGAAAAUGACGGUACCUGACUAAGAAGCCCCGUCUAAUUACGAGCCAGCAGCCCUGGCAAUAUGGAGGGGGCAAGCGUUAUCCGGAUUUACUGGGCGUUAAGGGGGUGUAGACGGCUGCGCAGGUCUGGAGUGAAAUGCCGGGGCCCAACCUCGGAACUGCACUGGAAACUGUGAGGCUGGAGUGCAGGAGAGGUAGGCGGAAUUCGUGGAGUAGCGGUGAAAUGCUUAGAUAUCAGGAAGAACACCGACGGCGAAGGCAGCUUACUGGACUGUAACUGACGUUGAGGCUCGAAAGCGUGGGGAGCAAACAGGAUUAGAUACCCCAGUAGUC
rnacentral:rRNA from 1 species